CGCCUCUAGGAGACGUCAAUGGACUCCCCAGGCCCCAAGGGACGAGGGCUCAGCAGGCCCAGUCGGGGCCUGGAGACCAGCGGCUGGGAGCAGUGAGCUGCAGCUGCUUGCUCCUUGCCGAAGCUCCAGGAAGCGCGAAUGCUGGCCCUGAGGUGAGAUUCCUCCUCUGGCCCUCGGGGGCUGCUCUCCUCCUCCCUUUGCAGGCCUGCUCUGCACUCAGCUUUCACCUAGACUCUGGAAGUGUAAGUGAUCCCAAAGGUCAGGGAGUGUCCACUGCCCCUCCAGCUGGAGGCUGCCCUCCACCCGCAGGCCCGCCACCUGGGAGGAGUGGUCCCCGAGGAGGAGGUGCCCUUGCGUCCAGCACUCUGCCCCUGAGAAUGGGCUCCUUCUCAUCCCUGUGAUUCCCUCUGUCACCGCUUGGCUGUAGUUCCGUGUCCUGACCUUGCUGAAGAGGAGGCCCGGCAGCCGUGCAGUAGCAAGAGGACAGCGAGCCUUGUUUCUUUGGCCCUAGUCUCCCUUUUCCUCCCAAUCCUCAGGUGGCCUGCUUCCAACAGGCAGACUCCACUGCCCUCCUUGCUCCCUGUCCCCCAGGUAGCUCCAGUUGGGUGGGUCCCUCUCAGCACGGCCCGGAUCACGUGGUCCAACCUGAGAACUGUACUUAUUUC